CAAUAGCGUAUAUUAAAGUUGUUGCAGUUAAAAAGCUCGUAGUUGAAUUUUUGCUUGCCGCCGAUGUCGGAACUUCCGUACGUUCGGCGGCGUGCAUCCUUGGGUGGAACCUGUGUGGCAUUAGGUUGUCGUGCAGGGGGUGCUCAUCGUUUACUGUGAAAAAAUUAGAGUGUUCAAAGCAGGCUUACGCCGUUGAAUAUAUUAGCAUGGAAUAAUAAGAUAGGACCUUGGUACUAUUUUGUUGGUUUGCGCACCGAGGUAAUGAUUAACAGGGACAGUUGGGGGUAUUCGUAUUCCAUUGUCAGAGGUGAAAUUCUUGGAUUUCUGGAAGACGAACUACUGCGAAAGCAUUUACCAAGGAUGUUUNCAUUA
rnacentral:rRNA from 1 species